rnacentral:lncRNA from 1 species
CACAAACGCUAAUUACUCUCUCCUCAUUUCUCUCUACACCAUUCUCUCUCUUUCUCACGGUGAUCGGCUCCCCUCUCCUCUCUCCAUGCCCAUCUCUCUGUCUUACAUCACAGUAGUAGGCUUCCCGUUUCCAGCCCCGUCUUCAUCACCGACAAGUAGUGGACGAGAUUUACAAUUUACUGGCUAUUGAAGGUCGAGAUUACGGGAGAAAUUGAAUUCAAUGGUGAACGAGAUAAAGCAAGCUCAUCAUCGACCUAAAGAGGAAAUCCCAUCCAAAGCUACAAGGCUAUAUUGCCAGAGUCAUUAGAUAUACAGUGCUUGGAAUCGAACAAGAAGUCUCAGGCUUUUCGAAAGAUAAAGUAUUUCACCCCAUGCCUGACCAAAACGAAGUAAUUGCUCAACAAAAUUGUUACGUUCACUGAUUUUUGGUAUUUGGGUACUUGGUUGGAGAUGAUUGUAAUAUUUGCUGUGACGAGGUGGCGGUGCCUUUGGCGAUUUUUGGAUCUAACUUUUGGUGUUUAGUAUUUGGUUGGUGGUGGUUGUCAUGUAGGCUACGACGGUGAGGUGGUGGUUUUGUUGGCGGUCUGAUGAGUUGGUGGUGGUCGUAUUGGUAAGGCGCGGC